ACAAAGAAAUCAUCUCAACUACUUACAACCUGCUGAUUUUGAUAAAGGUUCCCUAGUGUAUGUUGGAGAAAAUAUAGGCUCCAUUGUAAGGAAUUCUGCUAAAACUGGAUACCCACAGGUAGAAGGUUGAAACUAGGAAAAUCCAACUCAAAAUGAGCACAGGUACAUUUCAAACGUUCCAAUCUUACCCACUGGGACAGAUAACUUGCUACAAGGUGGAGAGCAAAGAGGGUGAAUGCUUCCUUCAGCAAAAAAGAGACCCUGACAGGAGUGUUGCUACAAUUAUGUUUUAAAAUUCAUCCAUCGGAAUGCAGUUCAAAAUUGAAAUGAUGGACAAUUACUCGACAGAGAGAAUCACACAUACAUUUGUCAGCCUUCAUUACAGCAUCUUCCGCAAUUUCUUUGUCUCAGUCAAUAUUAUAGUAUUUGCCAUCUUGAAGAGACACCACUUGAAAUGACAUCUAGUCAAGUCUAUGAUACAAUUGAUCUUUCAAUUAUUAACAGUCUGGGAUGCAGCUGGAUUUCAAGUUGGAAAAAGUCUUGGAUUGACAACUUCCACGUGUAAAACUGGCUGUUUUGUGAACAGAUGGGAAAACAAGGAUUUUCGGAGAAAGCACAGAGACUAAUAUAGACACCAGGUUAUUGAUAGAAGUGGAG